AUGCACGCUGGCGGCGUGCUUCACCCCUGCCAGUCGCACGCAGCACCUCUCCCGAAGAUUGACACAGCUUGCUGUAGAUUGAUUCAUUUGAGGUGACUGAGUGGCGGACGGGUGAGUAACGCGUGGGUAACCUGCCUCAUAGAGGGGGACAACAGUUGGAAACGACUGCUAAUACCGCAUAGUAAGAAGAAUUCGCAUGUUUUCUUCUUGAAAGAUUUAUCGCUAUGAGAUGGACCCGCGUCUGAUUAGCUAGUUGGUAAGGUAACGGCUUACCAAGGCGACGAUCAGUAGCCGGCUUGAGAGAGUGAACGGCCACAUUGGGACUGAGACACGGCCCAAACUCCUACGGGAGGCAGCAGUGGGGAAUAUUGCACAAUGGGGGAAACCCUGAUGCAGCGACGCCGCGUGAGUGAAGAAGUAUUUCGGUAUGUAAAGCUCUAUCAGCAGGGAACAUAAUGACGGUACCUGACUAAGAAGCCCCGGCUAACUACGUG
rnacentral:rRNA from 1 species